UGUUCGCCGCCUCGCCCACCGGCCCGAUGAGCUGCAGCGGCUCCGGCGCGGACCCCGAGGCGGCGCCGGCGUCCGCCGCCUCGGCCCCGGGCACGGCGCCCGCGGUCUCGGCCCCCGCCGCGCUGCCCGCCGGCACCGCUGCGGAGAACAAGGCCAGCCCCGCGGGAUCUGCGGGGGGCCCUGGGGCCGGAGCCGCGGCAGUGGGCACGGGAGCCGUGGCGGCGCGGGCCGGAGAGCCGGCCGAGCGGCGCGGGGCGGCUCCGGUGUCGGCGGGCGGCGCGGCGCCCCCGGAGGGGGCCAUGUCUAACGGGGUCUACGUUCUGCCGAGCGCGGCCAACGGAGACGUGAAGCCGGUGGUCUCCAGCACUCCUCUGGUGGACUUCCUGAUGCAGCUAGAGGAUUACACACCAACGAUCCCCGACGCCGUGACCGGUUACUACCUGAACCGCGCCGGCUUCGAGGCCUCUGACCCGCGCAUAAUUCGGCUCAUCUCCCUCGCUGCCCAGAAAUUCAUCUCAGAUAUUGCCAACGAUGCCCUACAGCACUGCAAAAUGAAGGGCACAGCCUCUGGCAGCUCCCGAAGCAAGAGCAAGGUGUGCCCGGCGUUGGCUUCCUAAUUAGCUCCCCCAGCUGUGGAGGCUUAACCUAACCCGGAACCCCGCGGGGCGGUGAAAGGACCGCAAGUACACUCUAACCAUGGAGGACUUGACCCCUGCCCUCAGCGAGUAUGGCAUCAAUGUGAAGAAGCCGCAUUACUUCACCUGAGCCACCCAAGUUUAGCCUCCUAAAUGUACUUGUUUGUCCCCUUGUCCCCACACAAGCCUGUUUUCAUAAUAAACUUUAUUGUGACAGGCA